UAGUGAGCUCUGCAAGGGUGAGAUAUAAACUUAUUCACCAAGUUCCUUCCCAGCACUUAUGCUUAUUGUAUUGGGGUGGAAAGAGGAAGAGGAAACAGACAUCUGUCUUCUUAUAUGACUGCCUGCUAUGGCAUCACUUUUCCUAUUUGUUAUUACCACAGGUACAAACUGUUGCCUAAGGAUACAGGGUGUGUGGCUGGUGGCCUCAACAGGCCCCACGGCUCAGGCACUCAGACCCAAGCUGGUCCCUCAGACUAAAUGGUUUUCCUGGGAACUCUGACUCUGGCCACAAGAUCAAGACUGACAAAUUUCCUUUCUCUGUUUAUGGAGGGAGACUUCACAACAUUCACUGAAAGAGGAGCAAAGGACCUGGUUUUUGCCAUGACUGGCUUUGGCCCCGUGAAUGAAUGUUUUUCUGGCAUUGGAAAGCGGAUAGCAAAGAGAGCAGAACCACAAAUGGGCUAUGAGGAAAUGUGUUCAAUGAAGAAAACAAAAUCUCUGACAAGAUCCAACAUAGGACAACAUCUCAGCAUCUUCUGUGAUUUGUGAACCCAAGUAAAGCACUUCUUAGAGUUAUCUGGCACAUUCGCAACUAAUAGCUUUCUGUGAAUAAAUACUGUGGCAACCACGUUAACUGUACAAAAACAAAUUGCUUAUUUCUUAUAUCCAUGCUGGAAGAUUAUCUGGCUGACCUUAUCAGCUGUGAUGUCAGGAAUGUCAGCCAGUUAUCCUGUGGUGCAUUCAGCUGGGUCAUUGUACCCCAUCAGUGAGGCAAUUGCAAAGUUCCAUCUGGACAGAGGUAGAAAAAAUUAUAUUCACUUUGAGUUUUGGAUUUUUUUCUCUUAAUUUUCAAAGAUAAAGACAAUUGCUUUUGGCUUUUAAGAGACACAUCUGGUAUGCCUUGGGCUGGAUGCCAGAUAUUUCUGCUGUUGAGUUUUUAUAACAUUAUAUAGGCCUCAAUAUUUUAGAACUAGUAUACAUUUGAUAAAAGUGACUUUUCUAAAGUUUUAGGGAGAAUCUUUUGCUUAGGUGCAGCUGAGUAUUUUUAGUUCAGUACUACAGAUGGCAUACCAAAUUUAAGAGGAGUUGAGUGACUGCUUCAAGGUUGCACAGCUAGUUCUUGGUAGAUCUGGAAAAGGACCAACAUCUCUUGGCCCUUUGUCAGAUAUUCUUUCUUUGAUUUCACACUGUUUUUAAAGAUGCUUAAUACAUUUUAAAUUAAAAUGGUUAUUUGAAUCUGCUUAAACUAGACAAUACUAAUUGUCAAACAUCCAUUACCUGCUUUUUCUCUAGUAACAGAUUGGUGCAAAAAGAAUUGCGGUUUUUGCCAUUACUUUUAAUGGCAUUAAUUACUUUUAAUGGCAAAAACCUUAGUUCCUUUUGCACCAGCCUAAUAAUAAAACCCCUAAUUUUAACUUGGCACGUGGCCAACCAGAAUAGAAACUACAUGUUCCUGCUUUGCUUUCAGUAGCAUUAGCUGAAGUAAUCUUCAAUGGGGAUAGGAAAAAUGAGGUGCACAACUGCCUGGUUGCACUCUUAUAGGAAAGGCAUAACCCUCCAUUUCCCUUUUAUCUUUUCCACUCACUAGAGUAGUGAUCUGGUCAUAAUUCAUUCUGGACCAUGUUGACAGGGCAAUAUACUGGAGAUUGUAGAGAAGAAGUCAGAAGGGACUUGGAUCCCUGAUACUAUGGAACUGUCUUGCAGCCCUAGUUUGCUUAUGUCUAGACUUUUAUGCAAGAGAAAAAAUAAACAUUUCUUUGUUUUAACUACUGAUACUUAGAUCUUAGCUACAGCAACUGAACACACAAUGCUAUUUAAUAAUUUGCAAAUGUUAUACUGCCAGUUGAUAUUUUAUAACUACCAAAUUUAAGUGCAGUAAAUGGGCAUUAUGCUUGUUUAAAUGUCUGGCAAUCUUGGAAUUAUACCAUUACCAUCAUAUGUUGCAUGAGAUGGUUUUCCAUUCCAUUUAGAGUCCGUACAAUAACUCAUACAAUGUGUCACUACUGCUGUCUCUUCUCAGCGGGCUUCAACCAUACUUAUUUCUUUGCCGUUCCUAAACAUUCCAGAUAUACUCAGUGUUCCUUCCUCAGGGUAAAUGUUGUUUUGUUGGUGGUGUGGUUUGUUUUUUUUUUAAUUCCUCUGCAGCAAAUCUCUGCCUAGCAUUCUGCAUGUAGUAUUGUGCUUCCACAAUUUUAGAAUUUUGCUCAGUUGUUAUCUUUUCAUUAAGUCCUUUCCUGAUGACAUCAAUAAAUUU
rnacentral:lncRNA from 1 species